UUUUUUUUUUUUUUUUUUUUUUUUUUUUUUCACAAAAAAAUCUCUUUUAUUGCAACAACCUCAAAAAAGAGUCGAAUGUUGGAAAUGAUCAUUCACAC
rnacentral:ribozyme from 13 species